CAACAAGAGAACACAAUAAUUAAGAAGAACAUUAUGAAGAUGAGUGACUGGUUAACAAAAUGGCAUAUAAAAAUCCAUUGCAGGAACAGCAAACAAGAUAACAUGAGAUCAUCAGACCACUUGCUGCCUGGAAAAAAUGAAUCUUUGUAGAAGAAACCUAGCAAAAAUUCUCUUUAUAGAGCCAUCCCAUACAAAACAUGUCAUAUGAAUUGAACAAGAGUUCCCUGCAGAACUUGACUAUAAACCAAGGUGUUCCUGCAGCAGCUCAUACCUUGGAGAUUUGGAGACAGAGAAAGUGAUUGGGAAGUCUCAGAAGAGAUUCUUUUAAAGCUGGUUGACUCUACGA